rnacentral:rRNA from 1 species
UACGGAGGGUGCAAGGCGUUAUCCGGAUUUACUGGGUUUAAAGGGUGCGUAGGUGGGUAGGUAAGUCAGUGGUGAAAUCUUCGAGCUUAACUCGGAAACUGCCAUUGAUACUAUUUAUCUUGAAUACUUUGGAGGUAAGCGGAAUAUGGUCAUGUAGCGGUGAAAUGCUUAGAUAUGACAUAGAACACCGAUUGCGAAGGCAGCUAACUACAGGGAUAUUGACACUGAGGCACGAAAGCGUGGGGAUCAAACAGG